AUGGCCUUUCUCUCUGACAGAAGGUCCACCAGCACCUUGGGAGCCGUGAUGGAGGAGAAGCAGAUGUCAAGAACGGAGAGGUUGCGGAGCAGGAAGGGAAAGUCCUUAAAGACAGCACUUCGCCAAGCAGUACCCUGCGUUUAACUCACGGAGACACUCAGGAGAACCCCUCCCUCGCCCUGACUCAGAUGCGUGUGGAUCGCUUGGACGACUUUUCCAGUGGAGGUUUUGCCACUUCCCAGCUGGCCAUGGGAAUCACUCCGUGAUACCACAGGCUAUGGGGACAGAUGUGCGGGUCACAGAAGGUGGCCUCGUGUCACUUCCAACACUCACAACUGCAGUUCACCCGCGACAUGGUAACAAUAAGAGCUCCCUCGUGCACAGGGUGCUCCUAAGGAGGAGGCAAGGUUGGAUGUCUGCUCUGGAAACUAAGGACAAUGCAGGAGCCUGACUUUCCCCGUGGCUGCCCAGCC
rnacentral:lncRNA from 1 species